rnacentral:rRNA from 1 species
UUAAGUAAGUCGUAACGGAAGUGGGGAUGCGUUCCAUUAGGUUGUUGGUGAGGUAACGGCUCACCAAGCCUUCGAUGGAUAGGGGUUCUGAGAGGAAGGUCCCCCACAUUGGAACUGAGACACGGUCCAAACUCCUACGGGAGGCAGCAUG